GCCAGCAUGGUGUAGUGGUUUGAGCAUUGGACUAGGACUCCAAGACCUGGGUUCGAAUCCCAGUUCAGCCA